rnacentral:rRNA from 1 species
GACGAACGCUGGCGGCGUGCUUAACACAUGCAAGUCGAGCGGUGAAGCGCUUGCCUUUUUGGUGGGUGUGGAUGAGUGGCGAACGGGUGAGUAACACGUGAGUAACCUGCCCUCUUCUUCUGGAUAACCUCAUGAAAGUGGGGCUAAUACGGGGUAUUCCGGGUCUGUCGCAUGGCGGGUUUGGGAAAGAUUGCGCCUUUGGGUGUUUUCGGUGGGGGAUGGGCUCGCGGCCUAUCAGCUUGUUGGUGGGGUGAUGGCCUACCAAGGCGGUGACGGGUAGCCGGCCUGAGAGGGUGGACGGCCACACUGGGACUGAGACACGGCCCAGACUCCUGCGGGAGGCAGCAGUGGGGAAUAUUGCACAAUGGGCGCAAGCCUGAUGCAGCGACGCCGCGUGAGGGAUGGAGGCCUUCGGGUUGUGAACCUCUUUCGCCAGUGAAGCAGGCCUGCUCCUGUGUGGGUGGGUUGACGGUAGCUGGAUAAGAAGCGCCGGCUAACUACGUG